UACGACUACAUAUCAGGCAUAUCAAUAAGCGGAGGAAAAGAAACUAACAAGGAUUCCCUUAGUAACGGCGAGUGAAGCGGGAAGAGCUCAAAUUUGAAAUCUUCAAGGUUUUACCUUGACGAAUCGUAGUUUAAAGAAGUGUUUUCUGUUGAAGUUUCGGUAAAAGUUCUUUGGAAUAGGACAUCAUAAAGGGUGAGAAUCCCGUAUUUGACCGUUAUUUUCAGCUGUGUGAUACACUUUCAAAGAGUCGGAUUGUUUGGGAAUGCAGUCCAAAAUGGGUGGUAAAUUUCAUCUAAAGCUAAAUAUUGGCGAGAAACCGAUAGCGAACAAGUACCGUGAGGGAAAGAUGAAAAGAACUUUGAAAAGAGAGUUAAACAGUACGUGAAAUUGUCAAAAGGGAAGCGUUUGACACCAGUGUUGUUUUCUCGAAAAUCAAUUAAAAAUAAAUUUGAUUUUGUGUUGUAUUGACCUUAAAAGCUUUCUUCACUUUUUUCAUGUUUAUUUUUAAUGCACUUUUCGUUUAACAAGUCAACAUCAGUUUCUUUUGUUGUAAAAAGGUCAUUGGAAGGUGGCUUUCUCUUCGGAGAAAGUGUUUAUAGCCUUUGACUCCUGCAAUCGGAGAGACUGAGGUCUGCAGCGUAGAUCCUUCUGGAUUAGAUUCAUUUGUGCUAAGUUAUAGCUUUUCAUAGACAACUUGUUGACUACGUUUUGUCAUGUAGCUUACUCGCUUAUGCUAAUUUUACCUACGCUUAGGAUGUUGAACGCGCACAGAGUCUC
rnacentral:rRNA from 1 species